rnacentral:rRNA from 1 species
UACGGAGGGUGCGAGCGUUGUUCGGAAUCACUGGGCGUAAAGCGCGUGUAGGCGGCCCAUUAAGUCUGAUGUGAAAGCCCGGGGCUCACCCCCGGAAGUGCAUUGGAAACUGAUGGGCUCGAGUCCCGGAGAGGAGGGUGGAAUUCCUGGUGUAGCGGUGAAAUGCGUAGAUAUCAGGAGGAACACCGGUGGCGAAGGCGGCCCUCUGGACGGUGACUGACGCUGAGACGCGAAAGCGUGGGGAGCAAACAGG